GACGAACGCUGGCGGCGUGCUUAACACAUGCAAGUCGAACGGAAAGGCCCUGCUUUUGUGGGGUGCUCGAUUGGCGAACGGGUGAGUAACACGUGAGUAACCUGCCCUUGACUUUGUGAUAACUCUUGGAAACUGGGGCUAUUACCGCAUAUAAUCUCCUGCACCAUGUUGUUGAUUGGAAAGUUUCGGCGGUGGUGUCUGGAAUGGCGGGUUAUCCGCUUGUUGGUGGGGUAGGUGCUGACAAAGGCUGUGACGGGUACCCGGCCUGAGAGGGUGACCGGCGACAUGGGGACUGAGAUACGGCGCAGAAGCGUACGGGAGGCAGCAGGGGGGAAUAUUGCACAAUGGGCGGAAGCCUGAUGCAGCAACGCCGCGUGCGGGAUGACGGCCUUCGAGGGGUAAACAGCUGUGGCAUGUGACGAAGAGUGAGUGACGGUAAUGGGUAAAGAAGCAACGGCUAACUACGUG
rnacentral:rRNA from 1 species